ensembl:snoRNA SNORA70 Small nucleolar RNA SNORA70
AUGUAGCUAAUUAAGCUGGCUGUGUUCCCUUCCUCGUGGGGGCCUGGUGUGAAAACAGCAGCCUCCGUGCUAGUGUACGCAGCCUGUUGCUCGUAUUGGUUGCUCUAAGGGUCCUUGAAGCGUCCU